rnacentral:lncRNA from 1 species
GUGUCCCAAGUACACGGAUGCCCCACUCGCACUAUCAUUUUCUAUGUUCAGUGGACCGUGAAAUAAGGGUCAAAACUUUAAUUUGGAAUUAAAAUUAGAAAGAUCAUAUCAUAGGGAACAUGUGUACUAAGUUUCAAGUUGAUUAGACUUCAACUUCUUCAAAUACUACCUUGACCAAAAACUUUAACCUGAAGCGAACGGACGCACAGACGGACGGACGAACGGAGGCACAGACCAGAAAACAUAAUUCCCCUCUACUAUCGUAGGUGGAACAUAAAAA